rnacentral:rRNA from 1 species
AUUGAACGCUGGCGGCAGGCCUAACACAUGCAAGUCGAACGAGUGGCGGACGGGUGAGUAAUGUCUGGGAAACUGCCUGAUGGAGGGGGAUAACUACUGGAAACGGUAGCUAAUACCGCAUACCAUCGGAUGUGCCCAGAGGGGAUUAGCUAGUAGGUGGGGUAAAGGCUCACCAAGGCGACGAUCCCUAGCUGGUCUGAGAGGAUGACGAGCCACACUGGAACUGAGAAAAGGUCCAGACGCCGACGGGAUGCAGCAGUGGGGAAUAUUGCACAAUGGGCGCAAGCCUGAUGCAGCCAUGCCGCGUGUAUGAAGAAGGCCUUCGGGUUGUAAAGUACUUUCAGCGGGGAGGCGUUACCCGCAGAAGAAGCACCGGCUAACUCCGUGCCAGCAGCCGCGGUAAUAC